GGGGUUUAGAUUAUUACUCAAAAUUCCUUCCUUCUAUGUUGUAUCAAUUUCACUUGGUACCAUGAUGCUUACCCUCUUGUUAGUUUUCGCAGCUCCCUUUGCAUUUAUAAUAUUCAAUCUAACACAGGUCAGAACUAUCAAUUCAUCUACUUGGGCUACUUCUUGGCCUCUACAAGCACAGGAUCUAUAACGCCAUAUGAAGGCACUCAAAGUUGCAAGCUUAUGGUCACUUAUCUAUACUUGAAAGCUGCUGAUUUAUUUUCCCAUGACACUAAGAAUCAAUCACAUGUAAUAGGCUCUUCCUUAUUAUUUGUAAUCCUCUCUUGUUUUCUGGUAUGGCAAAAUUUUCCACUCAACAUGUUCAUCUUUAAUGGUGCUUAGCUAGGGGCCUCAGCUAGUCAAAUAACCCACUAUUCACUAUUCCUCCGACAAUAAUCACACUAAUUAGUAUUUCUAUUAUUCUGUGUUAUAGAGUUGAGAGUUAUAUUUUCAUGCUUGAAGACUGUCCCCUCACUUACAAUGACCAAAUUGAUUCUGUUGAGGGCCAUUAGUUCUACAUGGUCUAUCUUUUUGGCUUUUAUAAACAAGAAAUUUACUCGAUCAUCAAAACAAGGCUGUAACAGGAACAAGGCACCUCAUCUACAAUUUAGUGCUGCUAACUUGUGACCCUAUGAAGCUGGAAAUUGUUCAUGGGUAGCAGAUGUUGCAUUUGACGGUCGGCCUUUCUCUCAUGUCUCUCAGAUUCUAAAGUUUUUUGCUCAAUCAGAUCCAGCCUUCGCUGACAUUUGCUGAUGGAUAUCAUUUAGUCAAUUAAUUCUCCUUUCACUCCACUCACAGCACUCACUAUAUUUUGGAGUUAAACCACUUUGUGUUAUGAUGUUGAUACUUCCAUUUCUGUAUCUGAAGGGUUUGUAACUUUAUAUAACUAGUAUAGGUGUGUUCUGGAUGUUUUUUCUGUUUCUUGCAACAUAGCUCAGCUCUUCUUUUGACCAAAUAAUAAUAAUAAUAAUAAACUACAUUUUUUCUUGUGCAAAAUAAUUUGCUCUUUAUUAUAGUUAUUUUAAUGCAUGCUUGGCUGUAUAGGCAAAUCCGAUCAGAGAAUAUUGUUUUUGUUUAAUUUGUGGCAAGUACAUACAUUGCAUGUUCGAAAAGCUCCAUGCUUUUACUUUCUUUCAGUUAUAGUUGCAUGAGAAGACAAAAAGAGAGGAUGCUAAAGAUAGACAUCUGAAGAAUUGGUGCACUGGACCCAUGAGGAGUGGCAAUAUGAGAAACACCAGGAGACACAACUAUUCAUAUGCAUCAUAAUCAAAAUAGCACUACUUAAAAUAUAUCAAAAUUGAUGUUGUGGAUUGGAACUAAACACUUGAAAAUAGAUGUGUUUUCAUUAGAGUCAUCCAUCGAGUCAAAGAAAGUGUUCCUUUCUCCAACAAUUGCACUUGGAUUUGAAAAGGUUAAACAAAUAAAAUAUCAGGAUAAUUUAAAAAUUAAGGGUUAUGUGGAUUUUUCUAUAGGAUUGGGCUGAAAUGCAAGAUUCAUAGUUUGUGCCCCCUAUUGAACCAUGGCUCUGUCAACCAAAUAUCCCUAGCCCAAAUUCUGUAGAAAGAAAAAAAAAAUCACCAUAGAUUUUUUUUUUGUAACAAUCUCAAGGCUAUGAUUGGCUGGGAUUUGGACGGCCUUUAAAAAUGAAGCUAGAUAGGCCAAUAAGCUUGAUUCUGGAUUUUCAGUCCGAUCCUAUAAUAAUAUUCUAAUAGGCCCUAAAAAGUUAAAGCUGGCUAGAGCCUUGCGGAUCAAUAUACUUAAUAAUUUUUUUAAUAAAAAAAAAGUUUUUUAUAUAAUAAAUAUAAUAUUAAUCU
rnacentral:lncRNA from 1 species